UACGGAGGGUGCGAGCGUUGUUCGGAAUCACUGGGCGUAAAGGGCGCGUAGGCGGCUUUGUAAGUCGGGGGUGAAAGCCUGUGGCUCAACCACAGAAUUGCCUUCGAUACUGCAUGGCUUGAGACCGGAAGAGGUUAGUGGAACUGCGAGUGUAGAGGUGAAAUUCGUAGAUAUUCGCAAGAACACCAGUGGCGAAGGCGGCUGACUGGUCCGGUUCUGACGCUGAGGCGCGAAAGCGUGGGGAGCAAACAGG
rnacentral:rRNA from 1 species